rnacentral:tRNA from 1 species
GGUGACGUAGCUCAGUUGGUAGAGUAAGAGACUCAUAAGCUCUGGGUCACAGGUUCAAGCCCUGUCGUCACCA